rnacentral:rRNA from 1 species
AAUCUCGACAAAAAAUAUCUCAGCUCUUGUUACAAUGAAGAACAUAGCGAAAUGCGAUACUUAGUGUGAAUUGCAGAAUCCCAUGAUUCAUAGAGUUUUUGAAUGCAAUUAGCACCUGACGCCUCAGUCGAGGGCAUGUCUAUCUGGGCAUCACAUCCCAUUCAAAUGCGCUCCCUGCAAUAUGUUAGUGAGAAGCGGAGCUGGUCAUCCAUGCCCAAUGUGGUGCAUUCGGCUGAAUACCUGAAGCAAUGUUUCAUGGUGUGCAUCGGCGAUCGGCGAUCUUGUCCCCUUGGAUGGGCUAUCAAUGUUAGCUGAUGCGGGCUUUGUGCGGCAUCGCUCGAACUUUCUUUGCUCUCUCUUUUCCUCCCAUCGGGUAGGGAAAAUUUAGCUCCAUCUUUGCGACCCCAGCUCAGGAAAGAUCACUUGCUGAGUUUAAGCAUAUAAUUAAGCAGAGCAAAAGAAACUUACCAAGAUUCCCCUAGUAGUGGUGAGAAAACUAGGAAGAUCCCAGCAUGAAAAUCGGGUGACAGCAUCGCUUGAAUUGUAGUCUAUUAUCAAACUUUAAAUAGAGAAGAGGGUGUGACUGCUCCAUUGAGCCACGCCAUGGAAUCGAGAGCUCCAAGUAGGCCAUUUUAGGUAAGUAGAAAUGGCAAUCCGGGAUGAACCGAAAGUUGAGUUACGGUGCUGAAUUGCACGAUAACCUAAAUCCCACAAAGGGUGUUGGUUGAUUAAGACAACAAGACAAUGGUCGUGGAAGUCGAAAUUCGCUAAGGAGUGUGUAACAACUCACUUGCUGAAUCAACUAGCCCCGAAAAUGGAUGGCACUGAAGCACGCAACCUAUACUCGACCAUCGAAGCAAUUGCCUGGCUCUAGUGAGUAGGAGGAUGUGGGGGUCAUACAAACUUUAGGCAUGAGCUUGGGUGGAUCGGCCCCCGGUGUAAAUAUUGGUUGUAGUAGCAAAUAUUCAGAUGAGAAAUUUCAAGACUGAAGUGAGGAAAGGUUCCAUGUGAACAACACUUGGACAUGGGUUAGUCGAUCCUAAGAAUGGGGAAGCCUUGUAUCAAGGGUGCACUCUGCAUGACCAUUAAAACAAAAUUGGGUUAAUAUUCCUAAACCGAGACAUGGCGGCAGGCAGCAAUGUUAGAAAAUCCGAAAAUGUCGUAGGGGGCCCUGAGAAGAGUUAUCUUUUCUUUUUAACAGCUUCCCCACCCUGGAAUUGUUUCACCCAGAGAUAGGGUCCAAUAGUUGGAAGAGCACCACACAUCUUGCAAUGCCUUGUGCACCCUCAAUGGCCCUUGAAAAUCUGGAGGACUGAGUACUGUUCAUGCCCGGUCAUAGUCAUAACCGCAUUACGUCUCCAAGGUGAACAACCUUUGGUCAAUAGAAAAAUGUAGGUAAGGAAAGUUAGACAAUCGACUCAGAAUUGGUACGAAUAAGGGGAAUUUGAUUGUUUAAUUAAAGAAAAGCAUUGCGAUGGUACCUGCAGAUGCUGACACAAUGUGAUUUUUUCCCAGUGCUCUAAAUGUCAAAGUGAAGAAAUUCAACCAAGCGCGGGUAAAUAGCGGGAGUAACUAUGACUCUCUUAAGGUAGCCAAAUGUCUCAUCAUCUAAUUAAUGAUGUGCAUGAAUGGAUUAACGAGAUUCCCACUAUCCCUAUCUACUAUCUAGUGAAACCGCAGCCAAGGGAACGGGCUUGGCAGAAUGAGUGGGGAAAGAAGACCCUGUUGAGCUUGACUCUAGUCCGACAUUGUGAAAUGACUUGAGAGGUGUAGAAUAAGUGCGAGUCGUUUUCGGUGCAAGUGAAAUACCACUACUUUUAACGUUAUUUUAAUUAUUCCGUGGGGCGGAGAUGGGGCACCGCCUCUAUUUUUGGCCUUAAGGCACAUUUCGGCCGGUCGAUCUGAGUGGAAUACAUUAUCAAGUGGGGCGUUUGGCUAUGGCGGCACAUUUGUUAAAAUAUAACGCAAGUGUCCUAAGAUGAGCUCAACGAGAAUAGAAAUCGCAUGUGGAACAGAAGUGUAAAAGCUCAUUUGAUUUUGAUUUUAAGUAUGAAUACAAACCAUGAAAGCAUGGCUUAUCGAUCCUUUAGAUUUUUGGAAUUUGAAGCUAGAGGUGUCAGAAAAGUUACCACAGGGAUAACUGGCUUGUGGAAGCCAAGCGUUCAUAACGAAGUUGCUUUUUGAUCCUUCGUUUUUAUCUCUUCCUAUCAUUGUGAAGAGAAAUUCACCAAGUUUUGGAUUGUUCACCCACCAAUAGGGAACAUGAGUUAUCUUUAGACUGUCAUGAGACAAGUUAGUCUUACUCUACUAAUGAACUGCUCUGCAAUAGUAAUUCAACUUAGUACGAGAGGAACCAUUGAUUCACACAAUUGGUCAUUGUGCUUGGUUGAAAAGCUAGUGGCGCAAAGCUACUGUGUGUUGGAUUAUGACUGAACACCUCUAAGUCAGAAUCCAUGCUAGAAGAAUUGCAUUUCACUCUUUGACUAUAUCUCGACCCAUAGUAGGGGUAUCGCUUUGUCGCCCCCAGUGGCCCGUGUCAUUUUCAAACCGCAACCGUGAAGCAUCUCAGUCGGGGCAGCUUUGAAGUUCAAUUCCAAAUGGUUGUUGAGAAUAAUCCUUUGCAGAUGACUUAAAUACACUAUGGGGUAUUGUAAGUGGCAGAGUGGCCUUGCUACAAUGAUCCACUGAGAUUCAGCCCUUGGUCACCUUGAUUCAAAGCUUCGCUCUU